GAACGCAGCGAAAUGCGAUAAGUAAUGUGAAUUGCAGAAUUCAGUGAAUCAUCGAAUCUUUGAACGCACAUUGCGCCCGCUAGUAUUCUGGCGGGCAUGCCUGUUCGAGCGUCAUUUCAACCCUCAGAUCCCCCUUUCGGGGGGGAGCUGGUGCUGGGGAUCAGCGCGUGCGCGGGGCCUAGCCCCCUGCCUGCUGGCCCUUAAAUACAGUGGCGGUCUCGCUCUGGACUCCCUCGCGUAGUAAAUCACCUCGCCUGUGGAAGCCUGGCCUGGCCACGCCGUAAAACCCCCAACUUUUUUAUGGUUGACCUCGAAUCAGGUAGGAAUACCCGCUGAACUUAAGCAUAUCAAUAAGCGGAGGAAAAGAAACCAACAGGGAUUGCCCCAGUAACGGCGAGUGAAGCGGCAACAGCUCAAAUUUGAAAUCUGGCCCUCGGGUCCGAGUUGUAAUUUGUAGAGGAUGCUUUUGGCGCGGUGCCUUCCGAGUUCCCUGGAACGGGACGCCAUAGAGGGUGAGAGCCCCGUCUGGUUGGACACCAAGCCUCUGUAAAGCUCCUUCGACGAGUCGAGUAGUUUGGGAAUGCUGCUCUAAAUGGGAGGUAUAUGUCUUCUAAAGCUAAAUACCGGCCAGAGACCGAUAGCGCACAAGUAGAGUGAUCGAAAGAUGAAAAGCACUUUGAAAAGAGGGUUAAAUAGUACGUGAAAUUGUUGAAAGGGAAGCGUUUAUGACCAGACUUGGGCUUGGUUGAUCAUCCGGCGUUCUCGCCGGUGCACUCUUCCA
rnacentral:rRNA from 1 species